rnacentral:rRNA from 1 species
AGUGAACGCUGGCGGUAGGCCUAACACAUGCAAGUCGAACGGCAGCACAGGAGAGCUUGCUCUCUGGGUGGCGAGUGGCGGACGGGUGAGGGAUACAUCGGAAUCUACUUUUUCGUGGGGGAUAACGUAGGGAAACUUACGCUAAUAACGCAUACGACCUACGGGUGAAAGCAGGGGAUCUUCGGACCUUUCGCGACUCAAUGAGCCGAUGUCGGAUUAGCUAGUUGGCGGGGUAAAGGCCCACCAAUGCGACGAUCCGUAGCUGGUCUGAGAGGAUGAUCAGCCACACUGGAACUGAGACACGGUCCAGACUCCUACGGGAGGCAGCAGUGGGGAAUAUUGGACAAUGGGCGCAAGCCUGAUCCAGCCAUACCGCGUGGGUGAAGAAGGCCUUCGGGUUGUAAAGCCCUUUUGUUGGGAAAGAAAUCCAGCUGGUUAAUACCCGGUUGGGAUGACGGUACCCAAAGAAUAAGCACCGGCUAACUUCGUGCCAGCCGCCGCAGUAA